rnacentral:rRNA from 1 species
AGAAGCUACGAAGAGCGUUCGGAGGAUGCCUAGGCGUCAAGGGCCGAAGAAGGACGCGGUACACUGCGAAAAGCCCCGGGGAGUCGUGUGCAGGCGCAGAUCCGGGGGUAUCCGAAUGGGGAAACCCGCCCGGUUGAAGAUCGGGCACAGCACGGUGAACACAUAGCCGUGUUGGGGGCACGCGGGGAACUGAAACAUCUUAGUACCCGCAGGAAAAGAGAGUAUUCCCUGAGUAGUGGCGAGCGAAAGGGGAGGAGCCCAAACCGACGGGGCUACGGCCGCGUCGGGGUUGUAGGACCGGCAUAAGGGGACAGCACGGCUUAGCUGAAGGACACUGGAAAGGUCCGCCAGAGGGGGUGAAAGCCCCGUAAGCGAAAGGCCAAGCGCCCCGCCGAGAUCCUGAGUACCACGGGACACGAGGAACCUUGUGGGAAGCAGGGCAGACCACUGCCCAAGGCUAAAUACCCUUGAUGACCGAUAGUGAACCAGUACCGUGAGGGAAAGGUGAAAAGAACCCCGGUGAGGGGAGUGAAAUAGAACCUGAAAUCAUAGACCUACAAGCGGUGGAAGGCCUAUACGUAUGCCGCAAGGCGUGCGGAUGGCUGACCGCGUACCUAUUGAAUAAUGGUCCGACGAGUUACUGUGCGGUGCGAGCUUAACCCUUUAAACGGGGGAAGGCGCAGCGAAAGCGAGUCCUAAUAGGGCGAUUCAGUACCGUAUAGUAGACCCGAAACUGAGUGAUCUACCCAUGGUCAGAGUGAAGCUUCCCGAAAGGGAAGUGGAAGCUCGAACCCAUCAGCGUUGAAAAGCUGUGGGAUGAACUGUGGGUCGGAGCGAAAGACUAAACAAACUCAGAAAUUGCUGGUUCUCCCCGAAACAAUUCUAGGGUUCGCCUCGGGUAAUAUAAAUAACAGGGGUAGAGUAAUGAAUGGGUUGCGGGGCCUUACCAGGCUGCUGGACCCAACCAAACUUCGAAUACUGUUAUUCUUAACCCGGGAGUAAGACGACGGGGGCCAAGCUCCGUCGUCUAAAGGGAAUCAGCCCAGAUCGCCAGCUAAGGUCCCUAAGAAUAGGCUAAGUGGUAAAGGAUGUGAACUCGCUUAGACAACCAGGAUGUUGGCUUAGAAGCAGCCACCAUUUAAAGAGUGCGUAACAGCUCACUGGUCGAGCGAUUUUGCGCCUAAGAUGACCGGGGCUCAAGCCUAUUACCGAAGCUGCGGAUUUGAAUUUGCCUUCGGGCAAAUCAAGUGGUAGGGGAGCGUAGUCCGACGAGAGAAGUCAUACCGUGAGGAGUGAUGGACGUCGGACUAGUGAUUAUGUCGGAAUGAGUAGCGAAAACGCCUGCGAGAAACAGGCGCACCGAAAGUCUAAGGUUUCCUGGGGAAGGUUAAUCCGCCCAGGGUUAGUCGGUCCUAAGCUGAGGCCGUUUGGCGUAAGCGAUGGAUAAUCCGUUAAUAUUCGGAUACCGGCUGGAUGGCGUUAAAACCGGUGACGUGACGCGGAAGGUUAGGGGCUGCGCAGUGUUGGAUGUCUGCGUUUCUGUACCCGCGAGGGUAUGGAGGGAUCCUGCGGUUUCCAAGGGAGAAGUGUUCUGAUACCAUGCCGCCAAGAAAAGCGUCAUCGGGAGUCGUCCGGUCGUCCGUACCGUAAUCCGACACAGGUAGACCUCCAGAGAAUGGUAAGGUGCUCGAGAUAACUCUCGUUAAGGAACUCGGCAAAAUAACCCCGUAACUUCGGGAUAAGGGGUGCCCCGGCCAGAAACGGUCGGGGUCUCAGUAAAGUGGCCCGGGUGACUGUUUAGUAAAAACACAGCACUCUGCAAACUCGAAAGAGGACGUAUAGGGUGUGAUACCUGCCCGGUGCUGGAAGGUUAAGGGAAUGGGUUAGUAAUCGUGAGAUUGCGAAGCUUUGAACCGAAGCCCCAGUAAACGGCGGCCGUAACUAUUGACUGGACACAGUAGUUGUAAAAUCUGGCUAUAUGCUGGAAAAUCCUGUUAAGCCGAUGGUACAUUCCGAUUCUAUCGGAAUCGUGACAAUUCAUCGGAUAGGGAUAAUCAGCAGGAAAGAUCCGAAAGGUGGUUCUGUAUGAGACCGGAGAUAGGUUAUUAUUUAGCUGGUUUCGCCGAUGGGGAAGGAAGCUUUAAUCUUUCCUUCAGACCUCGGCAAGAUUACAAAUCACCGUGGAAAGUUUCCCUUUGUUUCAAUAUAUCCCAGAAGGAUAAAGUCAUACUCGCAUUAUUCAAACACCAUUUAGGAUGUGGGACAUUAAGGUCCCGGCCCGAUGGAGUUUGGUAUUACGAGGUAAAUAACUUCAAUUCUAUCAGGGAUAACGUGAUACCGUUUUUUAGGAGAUUCUGUUUUCUCUCUGCUAAGAAAAAGCGGGAUUUUGCAAAAUUCUGCCAACUCGCGGAAAUAAUAGAGAAAAACGGAUAUCUUGAUGAAACCGGAAUCAGGAGAAUAUUGGAAAUAAGAAGGGGAAUGAAUGACGGUGGAAAACGUAAAUACCGUGAAAAUGAAAUCAUCGGCAAGUUUCGGAAAUCCUCAGAGACUAUACGCCAGACCUCUGAAGUUUUAGAGGAUGAUAUAGUCCGGCCUUCCGGGAAACCGGAAGAUUAACAAAAGCGAACGG